rnacentral:lncRNA from 1 species
UUUUCUGGGGACCUUGACCCACGGACCGUGGUCCCACCUACGGUCCUGGUCGUGGGUCCACCCCUAGCUGAAUUUUCUGAGGCUUCUGGGAAGAGGGCUGCAGUGACCAUCCAUGGACCACCAGCACGGACCGUGGGUCACCCUAUGGUCUGUAGGUUGUUCCCAUAGGUGGCACUUGUAGCCUCUGAAGUUCUGCCAUUUGUUUUGUUUUCGGAUACGGGGUGUUACAAAUAUUGACAUGAAAAAAUCAACUCAAGAAUCUCCAUGC